rnacentral:rRNA from 1 species
UACGUAGGGUGCAAGCGUUGUCCGGAAUUAUUGGGCGUAAAGAGCUCGUAGGCGGCCUGUCGCGUCGGCUGUGAAAACCCGAGGCUCAACCUCGGGCCUGCAGUCGAUACGGGCAGGCUAGAGUUCGGUAGGGGAGACUGGAAUUCCUGGUGUAGCGGUGAAAUGCGCAGAUAUCAGGAGGAACACCGGUGGCGAAGGCGGGUCUCUGGGCCGAAACUGACGCUGAGGUGCGAAAGCGUGGGGAGCAAACAGG